UAAAUACGAUCAGGAGGUCCAAUUUUUG
rnacentral:piRNA from 1 species